rnacentral:lncRNA from 1 species
GUGAUGGAGCCUGGGGGAUGUGAGACCAUCUGAAAUUGGCUUAAUUUAGAGCUCCUGGUAGAGCUGGAAGUUGGUGAGACAAAUGUCACUCCAGCUCUCAUGUCCAUCAGGAUUCCAGAGAGGAUCUCAGCAGCUUUCCUUCCCAUCCAGGUGUUCUGGCUCUUGUUGGGUUUCUUGGCACCUAUUUUGGCCCCCAGGUGAAGAGUCUUUGAACAUGGCUUCCAUAUAUCUGUCACAUGCUCUCAUCCUUUCCUUUCUUUCCCCCUCUUUUCAAGCCAGGAUCCUACCUUAGAAGAUAUUUAACCCACAACAAUGUUCUCCAUGAUCUUGGAAACCUCAACAUGGAGAUGAAGAAGAAAGCAAACCUAAAAGUAAACAAAUCCAAAAAUCUUCCCAAAAUUUGAAACAAGCAUUCCCCCCAAAAAUAGGACUUACUGUGAUGCUUCUGAAUAGAAGAACCAUCCCCAAGGUGCCUUAAAUCAGCAUAAACUAUUUCCCCAGCCAUGGUUGCUCAGAAGCUCCCAGGAGAAGACCAAAAGUGACACUGUCCUUGGACAACCCCUUGCCUUGUGAACUACACACUCACAUCUGCAUCUGGCUUCAGGAAAUGGGUUUUUUGGUGUUAAUACCAGGUUUUAGUCAGUGCUACAAUUUCCCAAAGCAACACAUUUUGGCAGAGGUAAAAAUGAUGCUUUUUCCUCAGACAUCCAAAAAAGCAAGCAAAAGCAGAAAUUUGCCACAAUACAUACCGGGAGCCAGAAAUAGGGUAAGUAAGAGGAUAAACCCAAAGGCCCCAAUAGGAAAAGAUCUGCGUUAUUUUCUUUUGAAAUUACUUUAAAAUUUUUAGGUCAUGGAAAAAAUACUUUUAUUUUAAACUUAUGCUUAUGUAAUUUUUAUUUUUAUACUUUUAUUAUCUCAUGUUUAUUUUUAGUUUCCUUUCCCCCCGAAGCCUUUUCUAUGUCACAGAAAGUUUUUGUGGUGAGCUGCUAUCAGCCAGCCUUCCUGCCCUCUGCAAGGCAGCUGCUCCAGUGGUGUGUGACCAGUGAUUACCCCUAAAAAACCCCUAAAAAACAUAAAAUAAAUUACAUUUUAGGGUAAAACCCUGCA